rnacentral:rRNA from 1 species
UACGGAGGGAGCUAGCGUUGUUCGGAAUUACUGGGCGUAAAGCGCACGUAGGCGGCGAUUCAAGUCAGAGGUGAAAGCCCGGGGCUCAACCCCGGAACUGCCUUUGAAACUAGAUGCUAGAAUCUUGGAGAGGUCAGUGGAAUUCCGAGUGUAGAGGUGAAAUUCGUAGAUAUUCGGAAGAACACCAGUGGCGAAGGCGACUGACUGGACAGUAUUGACGCUGAGGUGCGAAAGCGAUGGGGAGCAAACAGGGGAUUAAGAAAC